rnacentral:tRNA from 1 species
UUUAAUAUGGCAGAAUUAGUGCUUUGGACUUAAACUCCAAUUAUAAAGAUUUUAACCUUUUAUUAAAA